rnacentral:rRNA from 1 species
UGGGGAAUAUUGGACAAUGGACCAAGAGUCUGAUCCAGCAAUUCUGUGUGCACGAUGAAGUUUUUCGGAAUGUAAAGUGCUUUCAGUUGGGAAGAAAGAAAUGACGGUACCAACAGAAGAAGUGACGGCUAACUACGUGCCAGCAGCCGCGGUAAUACGUAGGUGGCAAGCGUUGUCCGGAAUUAUUGGGCGUAAAGCGCGCGCAGGUGGUUUAGAAAGUCUGAUGUGAAAGCCCACGGCUCAACCGUGGAGGGUCAUUGGAAACUAAUAAACUUGAGUGCAGGAGAGAAAAGUGGAAUUCCUAGUGUAGCGGUGAAAUGCGUAGAGAUUAGGAGGAACACCGGUGGCGAAAGCGGCUUUUUGGCCUGCAACUGACACUGAGGCGCGAAAGCGUGGGGAGCAAACAGG